UACGAAGGGGGCUAGCGUUGCUCGGAAUUACUGGGCGUAAAGGGCGCGUAGGCGGAUGUUUAAGUCGGGGGUGAAAGCCCAGGGCUCAACCCUGGAAUUGCCUUCGAUACUGGACAUCUUGAGUGCGGGAGAGGUGAGUGGAACUCCGAGUGUAGAGGUGAAAUUCGUAGAUAUUCGGAAGAACACCAGUGGCGAAGGCGACUCACUGGCCCGUUACUGACGCUGAUGCGCGAAAGCGUGGGGAGCAAACAGGG
rnacentral:rRNA from 1 species